rnacentral:tRNA from 1 species
GGCGCGGUAGCCAAGUGGUAAGGCAGUUCUCUGCAAAAGAACUACACGGCGGUUCAAUUCCGCCCCGCGCCU